rnacentral:rRNA from 1 species
ACUACGUGAGGCAGCAGUGAGGAAUAUUGGUCAAUGGACGAGAGUCUGAACCAGCCAAGUAGCGUGAAGGAUGACUGCCCUAUGGGUUGUAAACUUCUUUUAUAUGGGAAUAAAACGUUCCACGUGUGGGAUUUUGUAUGUACCAUAUGAUUAAGGAUCGGCUAACUCUGUUCCAGCAGCCGCGGUAAUACGGAGGAUCCGAGCGUUAUCCGGAUUUAUUGGGUUUAAAGGGAGCGUAGGUGGAUUGUUAAGUCAGUUGUGAAAGUUUGAGGCUCAACCGUAAAAUUGCAGUUGAAACUGGCAGUCUUGAGUACAGUAGAGGUGGGCGGAAUUCGUGGUGUAGCGGUGAAAUGCUUAGAUAUCACGAAGAACUCCGAUUGCGAAGGCAGCUCACUGGACUGCAACUGACACUGAGGCUCGAAAGUGUGGGUAUCAAACAGGAUUAGAUACCCGGGUAGUC